rnacentral:tRNA from 3 species
GGCUCUGUAGUGAAGUUCAUGGUGAGUUGCAAGCUCAUUGAUGUGUACUAGUCGUGCACCGGAGCCU